UCUUAUGGAUUAGCAAAAAAAGUGGUUUCUUAAGAUGGAAUCUAAUCCUGGUAAAGAUGCUGUGAA
rnacentral:pre_miRNA from 1 species